GACGAACGCUGGCGGCGUGCUUAACACAUGCAAGUCGAGCGAUGAAGCUCCUUCGGGAGCGGAUUAGCGGCGGACGGGUGAGUAACACGUGGGUAACCUGCCUCAUAGAGGGGAAUAGCCUUCCGAAAGGAAGAUUAAUACCGCAUAAGAUUGUAGUACCGCAUGGAACCGCAAUUAAAGGAGCAAUCCGCUAUGAGAUGGAGCCGCGUCGCAUUAGUUAGGUGGUGGGGUAACGGGGCACAAAGGCGCCGAGGCGUAGGCGACCUGAGAGGGUGAUCGCCCACAGUGGGACUGAGACACGGCCCAGACUCCUACGGGAGGCAGCAGUGGGGAAUAUUGCACAAUGGGGGAAACCCUGAUGCAGCAACGCCGCGUGAGUGAUGACGGUCUGCGGAUUGUAAAACUCUGUCUUCAGGGACGAUAAUGACGGUACCUGAGGAGGAAGCCACGGCUAACUACGUGCCAGCCGCCGCUGUAAAAC
rnacentral:rRNA from 1 species